UGGAGAAGAUUUUACUCCAUAAUGAUGUUUGGAGUUGAAAAUGGAGUAGGGUUGGAGAUGCCCUAAGCCAUCAUACACCCUACAGGUUUUCUCAAUAUAUAAAAACUUCAUAACUUGCCGUCAAAAUUAUAAGCCUAAAAAUACCCUCUCAGAGGAACCAUACCUGUGAAAGCUUUUCCUCUUGCUGGAUCUGGUGCUGUAAAGAGGACUCGACCACCAAUAACAAUAGGUGGGCGUUCAUAUGGGAGAUGAUCAAAUACCCAACCUAAUGGUUCUCAGUCUGCUGUUUCCUAAAGACAUGGUGUAAACUCUGAACCAGUAUAAUAGGGAAGAAGUUGCACAUGUUCCAGUACAACGUGAUGUUGGAAUGAUCCACCCAUCUCGACAUAAUGGGCUCUUCAAGAAACGAUUUGAAACUAUAAAGGCUUUCUGCUUCGGCUCAGACUAGUUUGGUUUUGGUGCUAUUUUAGUUUGUUGCUAUUUUAUAUGCUUUUAAUUUCUUUAUGCUAUUUGUUUUUUUUUCAUUCUUAAUUGUUGUUCAAGUUUACACUAUAUUAUGAAAAUUUUAUUUUUAAUAA